rnacentral:rRNA from 1 species
AGUGAACGCUGGCGGUAGGCCUAACACAUGCAAGUCGAACGGCAGCACAGUAAGAGCUUGCUCUUACGGGUGGCGAGUGGCGGACGGGUGAGGAAUACAUCGGAAUCUACUUUUUCGGGGGGGAUAACGUAGGGAAACUUACGCUAAUACCGCAUACGACCUACGGGUGAAAGCAGGGGAUCUUCGGACCUUGCGCGAUUGAAUGAGCCGAUGUCGGAUUAGCUAGUUGGCGGGGUAAAGGCCCACCAAGGCGACGAUCCGUAGCUGGUCUGAGAGGAUGAUCAGCCACACUGGAACUGAGACACGGUCCAGACUCCUACGGGAGGCAGCAGUGGGGAAUAUUGGACAAUGGGCGCAAGCCUUAUCCAGCCAUACCGAGUGGGUGAAGAAGGCCUUCGGGUUGUAAAGCCCUUUUGUUGGGAAAGAAAAGCAGCAGGUUAAUACCCCGCUGUUCUGACGGUACCCAAAGAAUAAGCACCGGCUAACUUCGUG